CAGAGUGGUGACUGCUCUCUGAUCUGCUUCUGGGGCAGGACAGAAUUCUUGGUCCCAAGCAGUCCCUGUUUCAUGUACUUCAAGGCCAGUGGCAUUUGAACAGAAAGAGGGCAGUGGAGAAGAAAGAACUUUAGGCUUGUUUUCCAUUAUUUGGUUGCUGCUACCCUCUUUGGGUCCCAAGAAAGUCUGGUGGCGAUCCGGCCACUUUCCUGGCCAGAGGAUAGGGAUCCGCCCGGCCCGGGAGCACAUUUCCUGAGCAUCGGCAGCAGACAUCUUGGUUCCGGGACCCUGCCGAGAGAACUCUGCACAGAUACCUUGUUGAAUAACAGGAGUCAGUAUUUUAUUCUACCCGAUGUAGGAGAUGUUGGAACAGUAAUCUAUGAAAUGGAAACACUGAUUAUAAGCAGAUCUUGGGGAAUCAUGAGACAGUGGAUGAGAAUUGGGAUGGCCAUCAUCACCACCAUCAUCAUGACCCUUCUUCAUUCACAUUGUGUGAUUGUAGAACUGUCUCUUGAUUUUCUCUGACUUAUAGAGUGAAAAAUUACUUUUGCAGAGAGCAAGAUCAUCACUGGUAUUUGAAAGAAUUGGGAAUUCUUUCCCACUAAAGAGCAGGACUUUUUAAUCAGCAGAAUCUUAAAGACCAAGAGAAGGAGACCUUGCCACAGCUUGGGUUUGAUCUGUCUUCUGACCCCAAGGUUUCUGCUAUGCAACUCAGAUGGCAUCUUGAGAUGAAUCUUUACCCCUAUUACCAUGUGCAAUCCUAGUACCCAGGAUGUUAGAAUAUACUUAACAGGCGAUUGGAGGAGAGGAAGAUUGUCGAAGCAGGACCAGCUGGGAUUCUCUGGCUGACUCCCAGGCGCAACUGUGAAGCAGCGGAUAUUGGGUGCUCUCCCACCUCGUCAGGAGCAGCGUUCUCCUGUCUGUUCUUGGCAUCUCGCAGCAUCCUGUGCCCUGCUAAGGUGUUAACUGACAACUGACAGAUUUUACUAAGAGCCUAUUCUCCUUGGUUGUAUUUUCAUUUUAAAAGCUGACUUAAAAACUUUACAAAUCAAACCUCUGCAAGUCAAGGCAUAACUUUCCUUCAGUAUAGCCCAUAAAUAGAUCAAAAUUCACUCAUCUUUUACAGGAAGAAAUAAACGUUCUCUUGACACCUGACAUUCUAGUAACUACCAUCCAAUGUUUACCAAUUUUCAUGAAUUUUUUUUAAACAAAGUGGUUCAUUGUCUCCUAUAAUAAUCUCUGAAUUAUUACAAAUGUAAUGUGGCUUCAUCUUCUUUUUUCAACUGCUCUCUUUAAGGAUGUCUUUAUCAGGAUCUAAAUGCCAAAUCCAGGGACUUGGCUUCUAUUUAAUUCAGUACUCCCUGGAAGAGUUGUGUUGUGUAAUUUGUCUGAUUGUCUGUCUGACCAACUUGAUGGUAAGUGUCUUUUUGUUUGAAUCUCUGCCUCAUUCAUAUUCAGAUCACUCUGAUCUUAUGUGAUACUUAGCUCCUAAUAAUAAUAUCAGGUCUAUUGGAAAUUGGAUGGUUUGGAAGCCUGGGUUGUUUACAUACUGGGACUAAGUACAGCAUUAAUGGAAUAAGAGAGAAGGUCCAUUCACCCAGGAGCCCUUCAAUAGAGACUUGCUCUUAAGACUGUAAGAACUGAAGAGACAAAAAAGGAACAGCUGGGCAGAUCCUCUUGGAGGGUUUGUUGAAAGCAAGCAGUAACAUUUUCAUUGGCACAUGGACUAGAGUAGAGACAAAUGACAGAACAAGGGGACUAUUCUAGUGUACAGUGAGAACAUGACUCCAGCUUUAACAAGAUAGUAUAUUUACACCCCUCCAUACAGUGACACAUCUGGGACUAUAUAGAAGGACACAAAAACAUUCAUAGCAAUGGAAAUGAAGGUGGCCUUUAAUCAUCUUUAAUGGCAUUUCUAAGAAAGCAAGUUAGUCCUGA
rnacentral:lncRNA from 1 species